UACAGAGGGUGCUAGCGUUGUUCGGAAUCAUUGGGCGUAAAGGGCGUGUAGGCGGUUUGUUAAGUCAUGUGUGAAAUCCCUCGGCUCAACCGGGGAACGACGCAUGAAACUGGCAAGCUAGAGUACCAAAGAGGGGGGUGGAAUUCCCGGUGUAGCGGUGGAAUGCGCAGAUAUCAGGAGGAACACCAACGGCGAAGGCAGCUCGCUGGGACGGUACUGACACUAAGGCGCGAAAGCGUGGGGAGCGAACAGG
rnacentral:rRNA from 1 species